rnacentral:rRNA from 1 species
GGAGGGCAAGUCUGGUGCCAGCAGCCGCGGUAAUUCCAGCUCCAAUAGCGUAUAUUAAAGUUGUUGCAGUUAAAAAGCUCGUAGUUGAAUUUCGGGGUUCUACCGUUGGUCGGGCUUUGUCUGUACUGGUGUGUAGAAUUUCUACCUUCUGGGGAACCAUCAUGCUAUUAAUUUAGCGUGGUGGGAAACCAGGACCUUUACCUUGAAAAAAUUAGUGUGUUCAAAGCAGGCUUAUGUCUGAAUACAUUAGCGUGGAAUAAUAGGAUAGGACGGUGGUCCUGUCUUGUUGGUUUCUGAAUCACCGUAAUGAUUAAUAGGGAUAGUUGGGGGCAUUAGUAUUCAAUUGUCAGAGGUGAAAUUCUUGGAUUUAUUGAAGACUAACUUCUGCGAAAGCAUUUGCCAAGGAUGUUUUCAUUAAUCAAGAACGAAGGUUAGGGGAUCGAAGACGAUCAGAUACCGUCGUAGUCUUAACCAUAAACUAUGCCGACUAGGGAUCGGACGAUGUUAAUUUUUCUUGACUCGUUCGGCGCCUUACGGGAAA